CCUACGGGAGGCAGCAGUGCGGACUAUUGGUCAAUGGGCGGAAGCCUGAACCAGCCAAGUAGCGUGCGGGAUGAAGGCCCUACGGGUCGUACACCGCAUUUGCACGUGGAUACCACCAUCCUCUUUUGGAGGUGUGCAGGUACCGUGCGAAUGCGGGCAGGCUAAUUCCGUGACAGCAGCCGCGGUAAUACGGAAGGCACGGGCGUUAUACGGUUUCAUUGGGCUAAAAGGGAGCGUAGGCGAGAGUUCAAGUCAGCUGUAAAAUCGCGCGGCCAAACCGAGCCCCGCAGUUGAAACUGGACGCCUUGAGUUCACAACAGGCAGGCGGAAUUCCUAGUGUAGCGGUGAAAUGCGUAGAUAUUAGGAGGAACACCAGUGGCGAAGGCGGCUUACGGGACUGUAACUGACGUUGAGGCUCGAAAGCGUGGGGAGCAAACAGGAUUAGAUACCCGUGUAGUC
rnacentral:rRNA from 1 species